rnacentral:rRNA from 1 species
AGUGAACGCUGGCGGCGUGCUUAACACAUGCAAGUCGAACGAGAACGGGAUAUAGCUUGCUAUAUUUGUCAGCUAAGUGGCGCACGGGUGAGUAAUGUAUAGAUAACCUGCCCUCUAGAAAGGAUUAACAGGUGGAAACGACUGCUAAUGCCCUAUAUGCCUUUAAUACAUAAGUAUGCAAGGGAAACGCUUUAGUGCUAGAGGAUGGGUCUGUAUGGUAUCAGCUUGUUGGUGAGGUAAUGGCUCACCAAGGCUAUGACGCCUAACUGGUUUGAGAGGAUGAUCAGUCACACUGGAACUGAGACACGGUCCAGACUCCUACGGGAGGCAGCAGUGGGGAAUAUUGCACAAUGGACGAAAGACUGAUGCAGCAACGCCGCGUGGAGGAUGACACAUUUCGGUGCGUAAACUCCUUUUAUAUAGGAAGAUAAUGACGGUACUAUAUGAAUAAGCACCGGCUAACUCCGUGCCAGCAGCCGCCGUAACAC